AAUUGUGGUUCCAAAUCAAGAACUCAAAGAAGAAAAAACCCUGCUCGAUCUAAAGAAUUCGUUUUCGACAUAGUUUAAGAGCUUAAAUAUUGCCACAUCUAGCUUCUUAUCGAUGGCUUUGUUGCCUGGUUUCUUUAGUUGCUUCUCGGAUUCUGGCAGGAUUGCAUGUGAAGGAGAGGGAAGUUCAGAAAGAAGAUUGAACAAAGAGGACGAGGUUAACGAAGACAAGUCCAUGAAGAAGAACAAGUCGACUAGCAAAAGCCGCCCUCCAAUUCCUGUGGCAUAUUUUCCUCUUGGAAUAAGAUUUUCUCACUUGUGAUCACGAGCAUUUCAGCUAGCUAAAGAUCAUUUUAUGAUAUAGUGUUACUUCCAAUCUUGUAUUGAAGUCAAAGUAAAGAAAAUACACUCGAUUACCAAAUAGUCAAUAAAAUUUAGCAAGAGAGAUCAUAUGAUUCAGUAAUAAUAAAUAGCCAGACAAUUACCUCAGAUAUCCCUUCAACUUGAAGCCCACAGAUUGAAAAUGAAGAAAAUGAUGCUCCAAAUUCCCCUCUUCUUAGGAUAACAUCAUGCUUGCAAUCAUCAUUAAUUUUCUACUCUAUGCCCUACCAGCUCCUUUCACUCUUCUUAGAUCAACUUCUUUUUCUUUUUCCCAUGAACUUUUCAACACCUACCUCUUCAAGAAAACAAAAUUACGUUAGGUGGAGGACUUAAUGCAACAUCCAAAAGAAAAUAAAUAGAAUUAGUAUGAGGAUUUGAUUCAACUACCUGAGGAAAUUUGUGGUUUGUGAAGGGAAGCUGUGACAGGGACACUCUUUGUUUUCUUUAUAGAAAAUUCGUGUACAUAUAUUAUAAUCCUCCCACAGAUUCUCCUGUAAACAGACUAGUAGACAACUCCAUCACAUUGUGGGAUGAUUGGCAGAUGGGUAAAAAAUGGUGCAGUGUUUAACAUAAUCAAAGAAUUUAGUUGACUAAUAACUAUAAUCGCAUGUCCUCAACAUAAAUUUUCAUUUGGGUAUUAAGAUUUGAAUUCCAACUUAAUUGUAUUAAUUAAAUAUAUCGAGAAUUAUAUGCGGCAAAAUAUUAUUGUGUCUCAUACACUAACUCUAAGGUCAUACGAUAUAUUAUUGCAGGUAUAUGAUAUUGUGGGAUGAUUGGCAAAUGAGGAGACAAGGAUCGAUAUUAGGGGUGAUCAUUUUCGGUUCGGUUCGGUUUUUAUCAAAAAAAGUAACCAAACCGAAAUUUUUUUUUUUUGAAAAAAAAAACCGAAACCGAACCGAAACCGGG
rnacentral:lncRNA from 1 species